ensembl:ncRNA F55C7.9 ncRNA
AACCUAUUCAAAAUCAUGGCGAUCGAUACGAUCGAGAACGGGUAGUCUGUACACGAGAGCACGUAACCGUCUGACGAGCUCAU